rnacentral:misc_RNA from 1 species
GAUGAAGAACGCAGCGAAAUGCGAUAAGUAAUGCGAAUUGCAGAAUUCAGUGAGUCAUCGAAUCUUUGAACGCACAUUGCGCCCGCCAGUAUUCUGGCGGGCAUGCCUGUUCGAGCGUCAUUACAACCCUCAGGCCCCCGGGCCUGGCGUUGGGGAUCGGCGGAGCCCCCCGUGGGCACACGCCGUCCCCCAAAUACAGUGGCGGUCCCGCCGCAGCUUCCAUCGCGUAGUAGCUAACACCUCGCGACUGGAGAGCGGCGCGGCCACGCCGUAAAACACCCAACUCUUCUGAAGUUGACCUCGAAUCAGGUAGGAAUACCCGCUGAACUUAAGCAUAUCAAUAAGCGGAGGA